CUCCCCUGUGGGGACGAAGCAACCUCCGAUGUCUGUGCUCGGGCCAAAGUCGUCGAGCUGGCCCUGGGAGCCACCCCGGUUCACAAGAGCCAGAUGGAGUCACUCUGAACCCUGAGCCGCCUUCCGGCGGCUGCGCACCUCUGCUCCAUGAUCUCUUUGUUCAGACUGUACCCAAGUACGGAUGGGAGCAGACAUGGGGUCUCUCCGCAUCCCAGCUGAAUGUCAGGACCCAGAGAGCAAAGGUCUGAGUGAGGAAUUUGAGAACAACCAGACCGUGGAGAUCCGCUCGGGGUUUCUCGGGAGGCUGCCGUCGGACGUCAGCCAGGGCUGCCCUCGUGAGAAGGACUGGCCCACUCCCAAGACUGUGCCAGCUGCUGGGGGGAGCCUCCGCUCUGCCCCGUGGGGGCUUUCCUGAAGAGCUACCUUCCAGACCAAGCGUCCCAAGGACCCGGCAGAAGCUGCUAGUGCUUUCAUGACCUAAGCUUCAAAGACACACAGUGUCCCUUUACCUCGUAUUCUAUCGUCUCACAGACCGUGAGUCCCGGGUGGGAGAGAAUCACACAGCAGUGUGAAUAGCGAGAGGUGAGAAUCACCGGGCGCAGUCUUGGAGACGGGCUAUCACACCAAGCUUGACGCCACAGCACGUUUUUUUUUUUUUCAGUGAUUCACUUAAAUGAAUCUUUUUAAAAUCAUUUAAUUGAGUGUUCAUAGAAAUAACUGUUUUUACUUUCGUACUUUGUGUAAUAGACAUCUUUUGUGUGUAUUAUAACAAGCACAGCUGACAUGAAUGGGAACAUAACCAACUGGCAAGUGAAGAGAAACCACCAGAUGUGGCCGCCCGAGGACACGGGCUCACCAGAGAGGAGGACGCAGCCUGAAAUAGGGAGCACUUGGGCUUUGUCAGGGGCUGUGGAGCCUCAGCCAAUGGAGCCCAGUGUAGUGGUAAAUGCCCUUUAGGGCGCUAGGGAGUCAGUACAGACAGGUCACCUGUUUAUUUGUAGCCUAGGAGCUGCCUACAGUCUGUGUAUUUGGGCCAAGAAAAGUUCAGUUGGCUUCUGUCAGCACCUCCUGAACACCCACAGAACCAGGCACUGAAAAUCCCGAGACAAAUUCUUCUCCCGGGUGGUCAACAUCCAGAGGAAGCAGUAGCGCUCACUGGGCGGAGGGAAACCCAGGAGGUGUGGGGCUCAGAGGAGCGGGAGGCAGCUGGGCCACCUGGGGGACGCACCCAGGCCGCGGGCGUGAGCUAGGGACAUUUCUGGUCUCAGGGUUCUGGAGUCCGGUGUCUGUGGUUGAGGUGUCAGUUGGUGGGCUUCCUCUGAGGUCUCUCUUCUUGACCUGUGGAUGGCCACCGUCUUGCUGUGUCCUCACACCAUCUACCCUCUGCGGUGUCUAAGAUCUCAUCUCUUCUCAGGACACCACUGGUCAUAUUGGGUCAGGGCCUACCCAGAGGACCUCGUUUACCCUAAGUGCCUCCUUAAAAGCCCUAUCUCCAAACUCGGUCACAUUCUGAAGUAGUGAAGGUCAAGACUUCAACAGGUGAGACACACCCAACCCAUAGCUGGGAGGGAGAAGUGUCUGCUCCAGCCAGGAGCAGGCGCUGCUGACCCAGUCCUGAGGGACCAGUAGGAGCUCUCCUGGCAGAGCGGGGUGAGGGGUGAGCUCUCUAGGAGGGCAGGGCGCGUUGUGGAAUGCAGGGUAAGGCGGACGCACCUUCCUUGUCCUGGAAGCAGGGUACCUGCCCCUCGGGCCCAGGGCCUCAUGCCGGGCCCACCUCUGUGGGAAAGGAACCAACUCCACUGCGCUGUACCACCGAGGCCCAGGGCGCUCCUCACCGCUGGGCCGGGGGAGUGACUUUUGUGUAAUUUGGCCUCCGGCAUGGAAAGUUAAAUCAGCUGGAAAGAGUAAAAGGAAGUUGGAAAACAAACUGAACCCAACCACCAGCUCAGGAGUGGUAAAGGGACGGUGCGGCUUUCGGAAAAAAUGAGCCGCACAGAAAGUCUGAAGGAAAGCGAAGGAGGCCUGGCCUGGCCCUCUGGCUGGGUGUGCUUCGGGAGGCUGUGUGGGGCUCUCUCCCGGCCUGCCAGCCUGCUGCUACUGGAGGGUCUGGCCUGUGUGACAGUGUCCCCUGAGCAUCCAGAAGAACCUUCGGCUUGGGGCCCUCGUCCUCUGGUGCCUCGCUUCAGUGUCGGCUUCCAUUAGCAAGAAGAGGAAGACAGGUGAUCCCACGGCGGUCCUGCUCCGGCCAUGGCGGGCGGUGCCGGGGGUGUGGAGCCCUCACGGCUGGCACAGGAAGCCCCCCAACAAGCAGCACCCAGGGGAGGCGCCAAAGCCCCCCCCCUCAGGCCUCCCCAUCUGUGGAUCUACAGUGCCCAGCCUCCCUCCUCUGCAGUUGGGUUGAGGUGUGACCAUUACAUACAGCCCGGCUUCCGUGCCUGCCUCCAAGGCUGACUCGGGGAGCUUGCCCAGUGGCAGAGCCCUGUGCAGAUGCGGACCUCCAGGAACAGCCAGGAGGGGAGCCAGGAUUUGGCUCAGGGGUCCUAGACAGAUGGGGCCCUCCAAAGGACUCCCUCCUCCUGAGUGGUGUGGAUCCACUAGUAGGGGGUGGGAUGAGAAAACAUCACAGUCCUGAUGAUCUGACCUCAGCCUUACAAACUCUUAGGGAAUGUUCCAUGAUUUGCCAAACACCCUAGCACAGCACUUGUAAGGACAUGGUGACGUCUGCAGGUCGAGGUGCAUGCAGCUGACCUCUUUUCUGGCAGUCCACUGGCCUCAAAACACCGCCCUCCACAAUGUGGCGCCUGGCAUUCGGACUUUCCCCAAACUUUUCAGACUCUGGCUGGGAAGCACCUCCCUCUGGCCCUCUCCUGCAGGGUGUCCAGUACAAGCUCUCCAGGGAGGCGGGGCUGAAGAGCUGUCGGAAGACUUUGGCUCUGCCCUUGUCCUGGGGUCAAGAAGGAGUCCUUCUUGACAAAGAAAGGCAAACAAAGGCAGGGCUUGUGCAAACACUCUUGCACAUGUAAACACACGUGCUCACACAUACACACUCCACCCUGCCUGAGAUACCAGGUUUGCAAGAUCUGGACUGGGGUGUCUUGGGCAGGGCUGACCUGAUAAGAAGUCCUGUGCUGGCCACGAGGGGCCAGCUGGCAUGGCUGCCUAAUGCCUUCGGCUCAUCUGCCAGGUGGAGCCAAGUGGCCCUCCUGGGUCCAGUCCCUGGGCCCCUUUCUGUGGAGAAGCCCUCAGAAGCCUGGGUCAGGCCUCCAAGGGAGGCCCCAGUCCUGGAACAGAGACAAAGCCUCUGCUUUCUAAUGGGGCAGAUGGAGGCUCAGGAGGAAAAAAGGACAUGCCCAAGGUCAACUGUCCAGGCAGCACAGAGCCAGACAUCAGACUUCAGGCUGGAACCUGAUGCCUCCCGGGGGCCUCCAAGCUGCCCUCUGUGCCUGUGUGUCCAGCAGGGUCCCCAAAGAUGCUGUGGGUCCAGAGGGGCUGGCUAGCAUGGGCCGGGACCACCCAAGGCUGGAGCUGACUGGAGGGACGUCUCCUCUCUACAAUCCUCCCAGCCUUGUCCCAGCUCCAACUGGCCAGGAACCUUGCAGGCUGGGGAGCACUUAGGGAGGAUGCUCCGGCUCACUGCCUCCCACCUCUUCCCCUGCUCUGGCCAGGGUUUGGGAGCAGACACAGGCCGCCCUGAGCAGCCUGUGGUGAGCAGGCCCAGGCUACAGGAGGGAGAAGACACUCCGGUCUGCCAUUUACAUGGGGCAUCCACCAUCAUUUUGGUUUCCUUUGGGGACAGCUCCUGAUACCCAGGGACUCCCUUGGAAGGUGAGGAAGCAAUUAUUUGCAUGAAGCUAUCAAAUCAGAAGUAACACUCCACUUUUGCUCCUCAUUCUGUCCUGUCUGUGGCUCUGGGCCACCAUCCCUCAGACAGAAGAGAAGAUGGAGACUCAAAGAUUAAGUCUCUGCAAUACUUGUGUCUUGCUGCAAGUCUGGGCCAGCUCCUGUGUGCCCACAUGGCAUCUCAGCAGCUCUGCGCUGCGAAGCCCUGGCUCAGACCUGACACAUCGGACCAGCUUCUCAAGGCGUAUAUUCUCAGGCCCCUUCACACACCUCCAGAUUAUGCAGGACCCCAGAGGUGUUUGCAAACAUGGGUCACAUCUACCCAUAUUUACUGCUUGAAACUAAAACUGAAAAUUUUCAUAAAUAUUUUAAUUCACCUAAAUAAAUCUGUUACAGUUA